rnacentral:rRNA from 1 species
CCUACGUGCGGCUGCAGUGAGGAAUAUUGGUCAAUGGGCUUACGCCUGAACCAGCCAAGUCGCGUGAGGGAAGACUGCCCUAUGGGUUGUAAACCUCUUUUGUCAGGGAGCAACGCCGGCUACGUGUAGCCGGACUGAGAAUACCUGAAGAAAAAGCAUCGGCUUACUCCGUGCCAGCAGCCGCGGUAAUACGGAUGAUGCGAGCGUUAUCCGGAUUUAUUGGGUUUAAAGGGUGCGUAGGCGGAAUGCCAAGUCAGCGGUAAAAUCGCGGGGCUCAACCUCGUUCCGCCGUUGAAACUGGCGUUCUUGAGUGGGCGAGAAGUAUGCGGAAUGCGUGGGGUAGCGGUGAUAUGCAUAGAUAUCACGCAGAACUCCGAUUGCGAAGGCAGCAUACCGGCGCCCAACUGACGCUGAAGCACGAAAGCGUGGGUAUCGAACAGGAUUAGAUACCCCAGUAGUC